UUUGCAGCUAGCUUCCCUCACUCAAGCAAACUGGAAGCUACAAAAAUUGUGCCUUUUAACCAGCACAAGGAAUAGAGCAGCCUUCUGCCUUUCACUUCUGCUGGCACCCAAUGCUUUCUGGUGCAGUAGAAAUUAAAUUUAAAAUUACCUGUAGACCAGCUACACAGAUGAACUUUGAAACACUACAACUCUGAAGUAAAAGCAUUUUUUUACCAUAGGUCUGACACUGUGCCAUCCUCAGAAAUGGUAUAAAGUGCCUUACAGAAGUCUGUUUUGCUGAGCAGCUGACUUCUAUCUGCUCAACAUAAAGUAGAUUAAAAUAGAGCUUUAAGACUAAUUCUCUAUGUGUUUCUCACUUGAGGUCAUGAGCAGAAUGUGAACCCUCAAGCUGUGAAAUCAAGAGAUGGGUCUCUUCUAAACCAGCUCUUCCGAGGAGCCAGCCACAGCCUCUGUCAGUUACUGGAUGGUUUCUUCCUGGAAGAAUAGAUGGAACAGAAAUCGAUGGAGUCUGGUAUCACUAAUUUACGGGGAAGGUGGGGCAGAUGUUGACCUGAGGUCUGGAGCACACCUUCCCAGCGGGGUACCAGGAGAGAAGACCUCCCAUCUUCACUUUUACUCCUGAGGGAUGAGGGGCAGACCUGUACCGUGGUCACAAGCACAGAGCAAGUUUGUGUAGAUGUUCCAGACCUUCAGAAACACACACCUGACCUUCAAGAGCUGCUGCAGAUUUGUUCAGUGCUCACACAGUGUGUAGCACAGUUCUGCUGUGCCUCCUGGGUGCUGCUGCAGUACAGCCACCUUUCCUUUUGUUUGGGCACCUUUAUCAGUACAGCUGAAGGGAACACUGUGUGGACUGUGAAUUCCUCUCCAAGAUCAUAUAAAUACUUGGACGGCACAUGCUGUUUCUCUAGUAUUAAUCUAACUAGCUAGAGCUGGUUUGCAUACAUCUGCAGCUACAGCAGAAGUUUAAUGAUAAAUACGCCCAAAUGUAGCUAUGCAAAUAGUGGCAAAUUCUGAAUAAAUGCAUGAAAUGCAUUAUAGUAGUCAAAAGUUCUUCUGUUUUUCCUUCAA